rnacentral:rRNA from 1 species
AACGAACGCUGGCGGCAGGCUUAACACAUGCAAGUCGAACGCCCCGCAAGGGGAGUGGCAGACGGGUGAGUAACGCGUGGGAAUCUACCCUGAUCUGCGGGAUAGCUCCGGGAAACUGGAAUUAAUACCGCAUGUGCCCUGAGGGGCAAAGGUUUACCGGAUUGGGAUGAGCCCGCGUCCGAUUAGCUAGUUGGUGGGGUAAAGGCCUACCAAGGCGACGAUCGGUAGCUGGUCUAAGAGGAUGAUCAGCCACAUUGGGACUGAGACACGGCCCAA